rnacentral:rRNA from 1 species
UACGGGGGGUGCAAGCGUUAUUCGGAAUUAUUGGGCGUAAAGGGUGCGUAGGCGGUUUUGUAAGUCAGAUGUGAAAUCCCGGGGCUUAACCCCGGAACUGCAUUUGAUACUGCGAGACUUGAGUAUGGGAGAGGGAAGCGGAAUUCCUGGUGUAGAGGUGAAAUUCGUAGAUAUCAGGAGGAACACCGGUGGCGAAGGCGGCUUCCUGGACCAAUACUGACGCUGAGGCACGAAGGCGUGGGUAGCAAACAGGAUUAGAUACCCUGGUAGUCCACGCAGUAAACGUUGAUCACUUGGUGUCGCGGGUAUUGACCCCUGCGGUGCCGUAGCUAACGCGUUAAGUGAUCCGCCUGGGGAGUACGAUCGCAAGAUUAAA